GGCAGUGUAGCAUAGUGUUAAGGAGCCGGGCAUGUAACCGAGAGGUUCCCGGUUCGAUUCCCCACCGGGGCACUGCUG